UCCAAAUCCAUAUCGUCGUCCUCUUCAAAGGGUUUCAGAAGAAAAUCCCUAUUUGAACCUGAACAAAGGUUAAGCUGAUUUUCUGUUUCAUGGCCAUGGGUCCCUGUAAUUCUCACAGAGGUGAAGAUUUCCUAAGGGCUGAAGGCAGGGGAA